AACGAACGCUGGCGGCAGGCCUAACACAUGCAAGUCGAACGAGAAUCUUUCCUUCGGGAAAGUGGAAAGUGGCAGACGGGUGAGUAACGCGUGGGAACGUGCCUUUCGGUUCGGAAUAACUCAGGGAAACUUGGGCUAAUACCGGAUACGCCCUUCGGGGGAAAGAUUUAUCGCCGGAAGAUCGGCCCGCGUCGGAUUAGCUUGUUGGUGAGGUAACGGCUUACCAAGGCGACGAUCCGUAGCUGGUCUGAGAGGAUGAUCAGCCACACUGGGACUGAGACACGGCCCAGACUCCUACGGGAGGCAGCAGUGGGGAAUAUUGGACAAUGGGCGCAAGCCUGAUCCAGCCAUGCCGCGUGGGUGAAGAAGGCCCUAGGGUUGUAAAUCCCUUUCAGCGGGGAAGAUAAUGACGGUACCCGCAGAAGAAGCCCCGGCUAACUCCGUG
rnacentral:rRNA from 1 species